GACGAACGCUGGCGGCGUGCUUAACACAUGCAAGUCGAACGAAGAGCGACGGAAGCUUGCUUCUAUCACUCUUAGUGGCGAACGGGUGAGUAACGCGUAAUCAACCUGCCCUUCAGAGGGGGACAACAGUUGGAAACGACUGCUAAUACCGCAUACGAUCUAAUCUCGGCAUCGAGGAUGGAUGAAAGGUGGCCUCUACAUGUAAGCUAUCACUGAAGGAGGGGAUUGCGUCUGAUUAGCUAGUUGGAGGGGUAACGGCCCACCAAGGCGAUGAUCAGUAGCCGGUCUGAGAGGAUGAACGGCCACAUUGGGACUGAGACACGGCCCAGACUCCUACGGGAGGCAGCAGUGGGGAAUCUUCCGCAAUGGACGAAAGUCUGACGGAGCAACGCCGCGUGAGUGAUGACGGCCUUCGGGUUGUAAAGCUCUGUUAAUCGGGACGAAAGGCCUUCUUGCGAAUAGUGGGAAGGAUUGACGGUACCGGAAUAGAAAGCCACGGCUAACUACGUG
rnacentral:rRNA from 1 species